rnacentral:lncRNA from 10 species
CUUCACCCCUGGCUCUCGGCAAUGCUGCUCCUCUCUCCUGCAUGGAUCACCUGCUCCUGGAAUUCAUUCUCCCAUUUCUUAGGUUGCCACUUUACUGUAGCUUCCUAAUCGAAGAGUCUUGCUGUGUCACCCAGGCUGGAAUGCCGUGGCACAAUCUCGGCUCAACCUCCACCUCCUGGGUUCAAGUGAUUCUUCUGUCUCAGCCUCCUGAGUAGCUGGGACUACAGGAAGAGUGCACAGGAGCCUGGCACUCCUGGACCUGAGGAAACCCUGAAACUGUUGGUAUUUGCAGAUCCUCUCCAAAAAGAGUUCACCG